UACAGAGGGGGCAAGCGUUAUUCGGAAUUAUUGGGCGUAAAGGGCGCGUAGGCGGUUCUUCAAGUCUCUCGUGAAAUCCCUCGGCUUAACUGAGGACGUGCGGGAGAUACUGAAGGGCUUGAGUCCGGAAGAGGGUGGUGGAAUUCCCAGUGUAGCGGUGAAAUGCGCAGAUAUCAGGAGGAACACCGGUGGCGAAGGCGGGUCUCUGAGCCGAUACUGACGCUGAGGAGCGAAAGCGUGGGGAGCGAACAGG
rnacentral:rRNA from 1 species